ensembl:antisense Igf2os insulin-like growth factor 2, opposite strand
UGGAGUGCCUGGUGGCAAAGAUGGGGGGGGGCUGUGCGCCCCAACAGGCCCACUAAAUCCUGGGUGUCUAUCCCUAAAAAUCGAGGUCCCAUGUCAUGUUUCCGGGGUGCCCUGUGCUUGUGCAACAUGGGCGCGUGGUGCGAACCAACGUGCGUGGCACCCUAGGCCUCAGUGGUAGUGGCAGGACCUGUGCUCAGUUAGAGGGUUACAAGGUAGGCGCAUCCCGGCCGACUGAGUUAAGGCGCAGGUAGCUGGGUAGAGGGUUCUCACAGGGACCUACUUGCCAAGCACGGGACAGUCCCCUGGAUCGGCUGGGGGGGGGNNNNNNNNNNNNNNNNNNNNNNNNNGGGGAGCGCGCAGCCUCCACCUGCCUGAGCAGGCAGGGCGGGCUGUGAGGCACCUCGAAUAGCAGCCAGAUAGAUCUUACUAAGCGCCCCUAACCUCUGCUUUGCCUGGGAUCUCCUAGCAGCCUUUGGGGGGUCACCAGGUGCACCAUGAAGGGAAGGCUGGCUUGGCCACGCCAAAUCUGGGCCCCGCGUGGAGCCCCCGCACAAUGUCUGCGCCCUUCAGCAGAAAAAGAAGCAGGGCGGGAAACGUAGCUCAAACCAGACCUGUAAACCAGAGCUCACUGAAGUGCUUCUAAGCGGCGCGCCUUUGGGACCCCACCCAGUAUGAGCAGAUAACAGUUCCCUGUCCUCAGCACUUUGAAUUUGCUUAGUUGCAGGUUCGGCCCCAGGGGCCAAUGCGAUAAUUCCGGGCUAUUAAGAAACUCUCCCCGGGUGGUUUCAGAUAUAAGAAGCCAUUGUGAUUUUUACCAAGUCAAAAUCACUUCUAAACCGGUGCACCUUGUUUCCCUCUCCCGACCUCCGCACCUCUAGGCCUCUAAAGGGCCACUACUGGCGGAAACCAGUGCACCCGGGGCUAACCUCCCGGCCCGACCAUCAAUCACCGCGCCCGCGCUCUACACUCGCUUCCCCAAGCCCUCGACCUGUAGGGUUGGAGGCUCCAAGCCGCCAGAGCGCUCUGCCCUUCCCGCUUCCUGGCCGCCCAGGCGCUUUCCCUACCACCGCGUUGUUUGCAGAGUGCACACAAAGUGGCGCGCGUUUCGGAGCGCCCAGCCCAAAGGAGCGCUGCCGCCGAGGGAGAAGCCAGCAGCCCGCUCCCGCGCUACUCCGCAGCAGCCCUGAGGACAAACUGCGAGGUAGCCGGUGCCCCGCAGUGGAAGAGCUGGGGCACGAGGGAGCGCGCCACGGGGAGCUCACCACAAGGCCGAAGGUCGGGUCCGCUGGCGCAGGAGGAUCGGAGGAGAAGGGCGGGAGAGCGGAUGAAGUGGGAGCUGCUGAAGUGGACGCUGCUGAAGAGGUCUCUGGAGAAGCCGCUGACUCACACCCCGGAGAUGAACUCCUGGACUUUGCCAGGGUCCCCAGCAUGCUCUUCCUCAUGCCUGUGCUGGAUGCCUGCCACAGAGGACACACUCAACUGGGCUGCGGUCUUGGACACCACAUAGGGACUCCACACCAGGAAGACCCAAGCAAUGCUCUAUGCCAAUCUGCAAGCCUGGGAAGAAGUCACUACCUGAACCACCAACAUGAGGAUUGCACCAAACUGAUCAACACAACCCACACCAAAAAUUCUUUCCUCAUCUGACCUCCCCCCUUCCCCAGCAUUUGCUACCUUUGCCCCUGGACUCCUGGAAGCAUUACAGAGACUGCUGCCUCGUGUCUGCUUGGCUUACACCCCUUGUUCCCAAGAAGUGACACCUGGAGCGCACCUGAAUCCCAGAUACUGUGACUGACUAGACUUCCUAGCCUUGGCUGGUUCCUUGGCUGAGUCUUGAAUUUGCAGGAGCUCUGAUGCUCCUGUGCUAGAGAUACCUCUGUUCUGCUGUAUACCUGAAGGACACUCACCUCUGAGGAAAGACUGGGGCUGGUGGGAGGUUUCUGAGGUUUCAUUCAGUUCUGGGAGCGUGGGGAUCUCCUGGGCCACAGGCCACAGCACUUGGGCACGGGGCUGGAGUCUCGGGAUGCUCUAGCCUGUUUCUUCUCAGGUUCCGGCUCAGGCUUCAGCUUGGGCUCAGGCUCAGGCUCAGGCUUCAGCUCAGGCCUCGGUGGCAGAGGCCUCGGCUCGGGCCUUGGUGGCAGAGGCCUCGACUCGGGCCUUGGUGGCAGAGGCCUCAGCUCGGGCCUUGGUGGCAGAGGCCUCAGCUCGGGCCUCGGUGGCACGGGCCUCGGCUCAGGCCUCAGUAGCAGAGGUCUCAGCUCAGGCCUUGGUGGCACGGGCCUCGGCUCAGACCUCAGUAGCAGAGGUCUCAGCUCAGGCCUCGGUGGCAGAGGCCUCGGCUCAGGCCUAGGUGGUACAGGCCUCGGCUCAGGCCUAGGUGGUACAGGCCUUGGCUCAGGCCUAGGUGGCACAGGCCUCGGCUCAGGCUUUGGUGGCUCAGGCCUCGGCUCAGGCUUUGGUGGCUCAGGCCUCGGCUCAGGCUUUGGUGGCUCAGGCCUCGGCUCAGGCUUAGGUGGCUCAGGCCUGGGCUCAGGCUUAGGUGGCUCAGGCCUCGGCUCAGGCCUUGGUGGCACAGGCCUGGACUUAGGCUUCUGCAGCUCUGGCUGGACGAGAAGUUUAGCCUUAGGAGACUCAGAACCCUGGGUUAGGGGCCUGCAGUCGUCGUAGUCGUUCUCCUCUUCCUCCUCCUCCUCUUGCACAGUGAGCUCUGUUUUAAUUACUCGUCCCCUGAGGAGGAGAAGCAAAAAUCCUUGAGAUUAUCUCAAAAACAAAUCUUCUCCAGCUGAGUCUGGCCCCCUCCCCCCACCUUGCUGCUGGAUGGGGAAGCCCAAGGGUCACCUUGUCAUGGUUGGAGCACUCCCCCCUACCCUGUCCCUUCAGCUGCCUACUCUCCCCACCCCCUUCUCAGUAGAAGGGAGGAAGCAGUUGGUGAGAAGUCACUUUGCCAAGUUUGACAACUGUUCAGGGAGAGGCAGGAGACCCUCCUUUGGGAAGGACAAUCUGGCUCCUGCCUGGCUGGGGGCGGGGGUGGUGGUGGUGUAAAACUGCUGCUGCACACAAAAGGCUUUCUUUGAGGGGUCACAGCUAAAAAUGUGAAUGUCUCCCAUUCCUCUCCUCACACUUCUACCUUGGAUGGGAACAAAAAACAAAGGGCACAUGGAUCUGCCUUAGGAAGGCAACUUCUGGAAGGGGUGGCAGGGCUUCUCCCCAUAAACAUUAUACCGGUGGAUUAAGGAGUCUGGGAUCCCAGUUGCAGGGAAAAAAAGCUUUGUGCACAAAUGAAUGUGCAACUGGGAGUGCUGUGGCUGCUGCUCCAAAUUCCUGCCUGUGCACAGGGAACACGGGNNNNNNNNNNNNNNNNNNNNNNNNNNNNNNNNNNNNNNNNNNNNNNNNNNNGGGGGGAGGAGCGGGGGGAGCAUACACCAGGGGGAAAAUGUUCACACAGAAAAAUUUCACAUUUGCAAAAACAGCUGUGUACUCCUGCUGGGAAGAGAAAGAGCGCUGCCUCUCCCCUUUGCAUGGUAGAUUAGAGAACGAAACCAUACUUUCCUUGUAGCUUUGUGCAGCCCUUUAAGUCCCAGUCCCAGUUGUCCUUUUGUCCCCUCAGAAGUUGAAGUCACUCUUAAGACCGUCCGGUUUAGCGGCAACCUUCCCCCUCUUCAGAGACUAACUGAAGGACCCUAACUCUCCCAAGUCCCCAGCCACCUACCCACACCAGAAUAUUUAAACUGCACCUUCACUCAUACACAAAAGGCAUGAACAAGGGGAAAUCAAUUAGUUACCUGUACUCUAGUCGCUUCGUAGUUCCUGAAGUUCCCGGACGGUGGAUAAAGAGGACCGGGGAGUCACUGGUGCCCAAGAUUCUCUUCCGAAAUUGCCCGGACGAUGAUCCGCUGGCUGGGUCAAUAUUAGCAGCCCCCUCCAAAGCAGGGGGUGCUCUGGUUGUGGUGCCCGGGCCCUCCAGCCGGGGCGACGAUGUUGCGGCGGGGCUGGAAGGGGCUGAGUCUGAGUCUGAAGAGACGGUGAGAGGGAGUUUUAGAGCGUGCAUGAUAACAGAGCCCCUAGAAGUGGCUUCUGCUCUCCACCACUGAGUAAGGCACCUGCUCGAAUGACACCACGCUUUUAUCCCUCACCUCGUCCCCUCCACGCCCACUUCCAGCCCCCUCCAAAUUUGGGAAAUGAUAUGCCAGUAAAGUACUGCAAAGACUUAUGGGGCAGCUGGCUAUGGCGCUUUCCCACACUAGGGUAUGGGGGCAUUAGAGGGUGGGGCUUUGGCCCCUGCCUGACAGACAGGAAGGCGUCUAUGCAGGUUUGAAUUAAGCUAGAAGCACUUCCUGUUAGCUAGGGGGUAGGGACUAUGUGCAGGGGUGGAGAGUGGGUGGGGCUUCACUGGAUUGACACCUGGCAGUCACCUGACACCCUGGAAUGUCUGUGGGCGUGGCACAGGUAAAAAGGGGCGUGGCUUAUGCAAAUUAUGGUCCGGAUUUAAAAUAAAUAUUAAAAUUACUUUCUAAGGUC